UUUAAUGAUCCGAGUGAACAUAUUCUUUAUGAAGUUAUACUUAAACUUGUAAUCUGUUUUUUUUCGUUGUGUUAUGUAGGUAGUUUUAAGUGAGCUAUUGCAUGAAGCUGGUUACACGAAAGAAUCUUCGCUUCUAUUGGACGAUUUCUUUAAGAUAUUGGAAAAUCGAGGUCUGAGAAUGGAGGUGGAAAUUCCGGUUGAUUAGCUGAAGAUGCUCAUUUUCGCUAUCGGUCGAUGGGCUCGGAGGAUAUAAAUAUCAUCUGUAUAAUAUGCACAGUUGUAGUAAUAUUAUAGUAGUAAUAAAAAUAAAUAAAUAAAAUAAAAAA